GACGAACGCUGGCGGCGUGCUUAACACAUGCAAGUCGAACGGAGUGGCGAACGGGUGAGUAACACGUGGGUGAUCUGCCUUGCACUUCGGGAUAAGCUUGGGAAACUGGGUCUAAUACCGGAUAUUGCAAGAUGAGCUCGCGGCCUAUCAGCUUUUUGGUGGGGUCAUGGCCUACCAAGGCGUCAACGGGUAGCCGGCCUGAGAGGGUGUACGGCCAUAUUGGGACUGAGAUACGGGCCAGAGGCCGACGGGAGGCAGCAGGGGGGAAGAUUGCACAAUGGGCGGAAGCCUGAGGCAGCGACGCCGGGUGGGGGAUGAAGGCCAUCGGGUUGUAAACGCCUUUCGACAGGGACGCGGUACCUGUAUAAGAAGCACCGGCUAAGUACGGGCCAGAAGCCGCGGUAAUUC
rnacentral:rRNA from 1 species